GUGGGGAAUAUUGGACAAUGGGCGAAAGCCUGAUCCAGCCAUGCCGCGUGUGUGAAGAAGGUCUUCGGAUUGUAAAGCACUUUAAGUUGGGAGGAAGGGCAGUAAGUUAAUACCUUGCUGUUUUGACGUUACCGACAGAAUAAGCACCGGCUAACUUCGUGCCAGCAGCCGCGGUAAUACGAAGGGUGCAAGCGUUAAUCGGAGUUACUGGGCGUAAAGCGCGCGUAGGUGGUUUUGUAAGUUGGAGGUGAAAUCCCCGGGCUCAACCUGGGAACUGCCUCCAAAACUGCAAGGCUCGAAUUCGGGAGAGGAUAGCGGAAUUGUCAGUGUAGCAGUGAAAUGCGUAGAUAUUGACAGGAACACCAGUGGCGUAAGCGGCUAUCUGGACCGAUAUUGACGCUGAGGCACGAAAGCGUGGGGAUCAAACAGGAUUAGAAACCCGAGUAGUCC
rnacentral:rRNA from 1 species